GGUUUCUCUGUGUAGCUUUGGAGCCUAUCCUGGCACUCGCUCUGGAGACCAGGCUGGCCUCGAACUCACAAAGAUUCACCUGCCUCUGCCUCCCGAGUGCUGGGAUUAAAGGCGUGCGCUACCAACGCCCG
rnacentral:miRNA from 1 species